GAUGAAGAACGCAGCGAAAUGCGAUAAGUAGUGUGAAUUGCAGAAUUCAGAGAAUCAUCGAAUCUUUGAACGCACAUUGCGCCCCUUGGUAUCCCGAGGGGCAUGCCUGUUCGAGCGUCAUUUCACCACUCAAGCCUGGCUUGGUGUUGGGCGACGUCCCCUUUAGGGACGCGCCUCGAAACGCUCGGCGGCGCGGCACCGGCUUUAAGCGUAGCAGAAUCUUUCGCUUUGGAAGUCGGGGCCCCGCCUGCCGGAAUACCUACUUGUAAGGUUGACCUCGGAUCAGGCAGGGAUACCCGCUGAACUUAAGCAUAUCAAUAAGCGGAGGA
rnacentral:misc_RNA from 1 species